rnacentral:rRNA from 1 species
GACGAACGCUGGCGGCGUGCUUAACACAUGCAAGUCGAACGGUAAGGCCCUUCGGGGUACACGAGUGGCGAACGGGUGAGUAACACGUGGGUGAUCUGCCCUACACUUCGGGAUAAGCCUGGGAAACUGGGUCUAAUACCGGAUAGGACCACUGCCUGCAUGGGUGGGGGUGGAAAGCUUUUGCGGUGUGGGGUGGGCCCGCGGCCUAUCAGCUUGUUGGUGGGGUGAUGGCCUACCAAGGCGACGACGGGUAGCCGGCCUGAGAGGGUGACCGGCCACACUGGGGCGGAGAUACGGCCCAGGCUCCUACGGGAGGCAGCAGUGGGGAAUAUUGCACAAUGGGCGCAAGCCUGAUGCAGCGACGCCGCGUGAGGGAUGACGGCCUUCGGGUUGUAAACCUCUUUCAGCACCGACGAAGCGCAAGUGACGGUAGGUGCAGAAGAAGGACCGGCCAACUACGUGCCAGCCGCCGCAGUAA